AUUGAACGCUGGCGGCAUGCCUAACACAUGCAAGUCGAACGUGAAAGCUCCUUCGGGAGUGAGUAGAGUGGCGAACGGGUGAGUAACGCGUAGGAAUCUACCCAAGAGUGGGGGACAACCCGGAGAAAUCCGGGCUAAUACCGCAUACGCCCUACGGGGUAAAGUGGGGGACCUUUCGGGGCCUCAUGCUUUUGGAUGAGCCUGCGUCGGAUUAGUUUGUUGGUAGGGUAACGGCCUACCAAGGCGACGAUCCGUAGCUGGUCUGAGAGGAUGACCAGCCACACUGGGACUGAGACACGGCCCAGACUCCUACGGGAGGCAGCAGUGGGGAAUAUUGGACAAUGGGGGCAACCCUGAUCCAGCCAUGCCGCGUGUGUGAAGAAGGCCUUCGGGUUGUAAAGCACUUUCAGUAGGGAAGAAAAGCCCAAGGUUAAUACCUUUGGGUCUUGACGGUACCUACACAAGAAGCACCGGCUAAUUCCGUG
rnacentral:rRNA from 1 species